rnacentral:tRNA from 2 species
GCUAGGGUGGCGGAGUGGUAACGCGCUGGUCUCGAAAACCAGUGGGCGUAACGCCCGUGUGGGUUCGAAUCCCACCCCUAGCG